rnacentral:rRNA from 4 species
UGACCUCGGAUCAGGUAGGGAUACCCGCUGAACUUAAGCAUAUCAAUAAGCGGAGGAAAAGAAACCAACCGGGAUUGCCUCAGUAACGGCGAGUGAAGCGGCAAGAGCUCAAAUUUGAAAGCUGGCUCCUUCGGGGUCCGCAUUGUAAUUUGCAGAGGAUGCUUCGGGUGCGGCCCCUGUCUAAGUGCCCUGGAACGGGCCGUCAGAGAGGGUGAGAAUCCCGUCUGGGAUGGGGUGUCCGCGCCCGUGUGAAGCUCCUUCGACGAGUCGAGUUGUUUGGGAAUGCAGCUCUAAAUGGGUGGUAAAUUUCAUCUAAAGCUAAAUACUGGCCGGAGACCGAUAGCGCACAAGUAGAGUGAUCGAAAGAUGAAAAGCACUUUGAAAAGAGAGUUAAAAAGCACGUGAAAUUGUUGAAAGGGAAGCGCUUGCGACCAGACUCGCCUCCAGGGUUCAGCCGGCAUUCGUGCCGGUGUACUUCCCUGGGGGCGGGCCAGCGUCGGUUUGGGCGGCCGGUCAAAGGCUCCCGGAAUGUAGUGCCCUCCGGGGCACCUUAUAGCCGGGAGUGCAAUGCGGCCAGCCUGGACCGAGGAACGCGCUUCGGCACGGACGCUGGCAUAAUGGUCGUAAACGACC